UACGGAGGGUGCAAGCGUUGUUCGGAAUCACUGGGCGUAAAGGGCGCGUAGGCGGCUUGGUAAGUCCGAUGUGAAAGCCCGGGGCUCAACCCCGGAAGUGCAUUGGAAACUGCCCGGCUUGAGUUCGGGAGAGGAGGGCAGAAUUCCCGGUGUAGGGUUGAAAUCCGUAGAUAUCGGGAGGAAAACCGGUGGCGAAGGCGGCCCUCUGGAACGAAACUGACGCUGAGGCGCGAAAGCGUGGGGAGCAAACAGG
rnacentral:rRNA from 1 species